AUAAAGGUGGCAGAUUAGUGCAUUAGAUUUAAGCUCUAAAUAUAAAAAAAAUUUUUUUCUUUUAUA
rnacentral:tRNA from 1 species